UGGGGAAUUUUGCACAAUGGGGGAAACCCUGAUGCAGCGACGCCGCGUGAUUUAGAAGGCCUUCGGGUUGUAAAAAUCUUUUUUACGGGAUGAAAAUGACAGUACCGUAAGAAUAAGGUCCGGCUAAAUACGUGCCAGCAGCCGCGGUAAUACGUAUGGACCGAGCGUUGUCCGGAAUCAUUGGGCGUAAAGGGUACGUAGGCGGCCUAGUAAGUUAGAAGUUAAAGAAUAUAGCUCAACUAUAUAAAGCUUUUAAAACUGCUAGGCUUGAGAGAUGGAAGGGAAAGUGGAAUUCCUAGUGUAGCGGUGAAAUGCGCAGAUAUUAGGAAGAAUACCGGUGGCGAAGGCGACUUUCUGGUCAGCAUCUGACGCUGAGGUACGAAAGCGUGGGUAGCAAACAGG
rnacentral:rRNA from 1 species